rnacentral:tRNA from 1 species
GAGGGUAUAGCUCAAUGGUAGAGUGCAUGCUUAGCAUGCACAAGGUCCUGGGUUUGAUCCUCAGUACCUCCA